rnacentral:rRNA from 1 species
GACGAACGCUGGCGGCGUGCUUAACACAUGCAAGUCGAACGGAAAGGCCCUGCUUUUGUGGGGUGCUCGAGUGGCGAAAGGGUGAGUAACACGUGAGUAACCUGCCCUUGACUUUGGGAUAACUUCAGGAAACUGGGGCUAAUACCGGAUAGGAGCUCCUGCUGCAUGUUGGGGGUUGGAAGGUUUCGGCGGUUGGGGAUGGACUCGCGGCUUAUCAGCUUGUUGGUGGGGUAGUGGCUUACCAAGGCUUUGACGGGUAGCCGGCCUGAGAGGGUGACCGGCCACAUUGGGACUGAGAUACGGCCCAGACUCCUACGGGAGGCAGCAGUGGGGAAUAUUGCACAAUGGGCGGAAGCCUGAUGCAGCAACGCCGCGUGAGGGAUGACGGCCUUCGGGUUGUAAACCGCUUUCGCCUGUGACGAAGCGUGAGUGACGGUAAUGGGUAAAGAAGCACCGGCUAACUACGUG